rnacentral:rRNA from 1 species
ACGAACGCUGGCGGCGUGCUUAACACAUGCAAGUCGUACGGUAAGGCCCUUUCGGUGGUACACGAGUGGCGAACGGGUGAGUAACACGUGAGUAACCUGCCCACAACUUUGGGAUAACGCUAGGAAACUGGUGCUAAUACUGGAUAUGUGCUCCUGCUGCAUGGUGGGGGUUGGAAAGCUCCGGCGGUUGUGGAUGGACUCGCGGCCUAUCAGCUUGUUGGUGGGGUAGUGGCCUACCAAGGCGGCGACGGGUAGCCGGCCUGAGAGGGUGACCGGCCACAUUGGGACUGAGAUACGGCCCAGACUCCUACGGGAGGCAGCAGUGGGGAAUAUUGCACAAUGGGCGCAAGCCUGAUGCAGCAACGCCGCGUGCGGGAUGACGGCCUUCGGGUUGUAAACCGCGUUCAGCAGGGACGAAGCUUUUUGUGACGGUACCUGCAGAAGAAGCACCGGCUAACUACGUG